AGAGCGAACGCUGGCGGCAGGCCUAACACAUGCAAGUCGAGCGCCCGUAGCAAUACGGGAGCGGCAGACGGGAUAGUAACACGUGGGAACGCGCCCUUCGGUUCGGAAUAACUCAGGGAAACUUGAGCUAAUACCGAAUACGCCCUUACGGGGAAAGAUUUAUUGCCGAAGGAACGGCCCGCGUCCGAUUAGCUAGUUGGUGAGGUAAUGGCUCACCAAGGCUACGAUCGGUAGCUGGUCUGAGAGGAUGAUCAGCCACACUGGGACUGAGACACGGCCCAGACUCCUACGGGAGGCAGCAGUAGGGAAUCUUGCGCAAUGGGCGAAAGCCUGACGCAGCCAUGCCGCGUGAAUGAUGAAGGUCUUAGGAUUGUAAAAUUCUUUCAGCGGGGACGAUAAUGACGGUACCCGCAGAAGAAGCCCCGGCUAACUUCGUGCCAGCAGCCGC
rnacentral:rRNA from 1 species